rnacentral:rRNA from 1 species
CCGCCCGUCACGUCAUGAAAGUCGGUAACACCCGAAGCCGGUGGCCUAACCCCUUGUGGGAGGGAGCUGUCGAAGGUGGGAUCGGCGAUUGGGACGAAGUCGUAACAAGGUAGCCGUACCGGAAGGUGCGGCUGGAUCACCUCCUUUCUAAGGAG